AAUAGUUGAGUAAUCUACCCUCGAGUUGAGAACAGCCCAUGGAAACGUGGAUUAAUGCUGAAUGUGAGCACUGGAUCGCAUGGUCUGGGGGCUUAAAGGUGGGGAUCUUCGGACCUACCGCUCGAGGAGGGGCUCAACCCCUAUUAGCUUGUUGGUGAGGUAACGGCUCACCAAGGCGACGAUGGGUACCCGGGCUGAGAGGCCGAUCGGGCACACCGGAACUGAGACACUGUCCGG
rnacentral:rRNA from 1 species